GCAGGAGUGGUGGAAUUGGCAGACACGCUAUCUUGAGGGGGUAGUGAGCGAAGCUCUUGAGGGUUCAAAUCCCUUCUCCUGCACCA
rnacentral:tRNA from 2 species